UACAGAGGUGGCAAGCGUUGUUCGGAAUUACUGGGCGUAAAGGGCGCGUAGGCGGUCUUGUAAGUCCCGUGUGAAAGCCCCCGGCUCAACUGGGGAAUGGCACGGGAAACUGCGAGGCUUGAGUUCGGGAGAGGGAAGCGGAAUUCCGGGUGUAGCGGUGAAAUUCGUAGAUAUCCGGAGGAACACCGGUGGCGAAGGCGGCUUCCUGGACCGACACUGACGCUGAGGCGCGAAAGCUAGGGGAGCAAACGGG
rnacentral:rRNA from 1 species